GACGAACGCUGGCGGCGUGCUUAACACAUGCAAGUCGAGCGGUAAGGCCCUUUCGGGGGUACACGAGCGGCGAACGGGUGAGUAACACGUGGGUGACCUGCCCUUAGCUCUGGGAUAAGCCUGGGAAACUGGGUCUAAUACCGGAUAUGACUCCAUGACGCAUGUUGUGGGGUGGAAAGCCUUGUGCGGCUAGGGAUGGGCCCGCGGCCUAUCAGCUUGUUGGUGGGGUGAUGGCCUACCAAGGCGACGACGGGUAGCCGGCCUGAGAGGGCGGCCGGCCACACUGGGACUGAGACACGGCCCAGACUCCGUACGGGAGGCAGCAGGUGGGGAAUCUUGCGCAAUGGGCGAAAGCCUGACGCAGCGACGCCGCGUGAGGGAUGACGGCC
rnacentral:rRNA from 1 species